rnacentral:rRNA from 1 species
UGAUGGUGCUUGCACCUGAUUGACGAUGGAUCACCAGUGAGUGGCGGACGGGUGAGUAACACGUAGGUAACCUGCCCCGGAGCGGGGGAUAACAUUUGGAAACAGAUGAUAAUACCGCAUAACAACAAAAGCCGCAUGGCUUUUGUUUGAAAGAUGGCUUUGGCUAUCACUCUGGGAUGGACCUGCGGUGCAUUAGCUAGUUGGUAAGGUAACGGCUUACCAAGGCGAUGAUGCAUAGCCGAGUUGAGAGACUGAUCGGCCACAAUGGAACUGAGACACGGUCCAUACUCCUACGGGAGGCAGCAGUAGGGAAUCUUCCACAAUGGGCGCAAGCCUGAUGGAGCAACACCGCGUGAGUGAAGAAGGGUUUCGGCUCGUAAAGCUCUGUUGUUGGAGAAGAACGUGCGUG